rnacentral:lncRNA from 1 species
CUAGAGGAGCAGUCAAUAAUUGCUGCCAACAAUGAUCAGCAAACCACAAUAAGUGGAUCAUCGCCAACCCCAUUGCAGGUAUCUACAGUGUGUCAAAAACUGCAAUAUUAAGGUGACAGCAUGGGUCUUGGUGACAUUCAGUCUGACGGAUACAGACUUAUCUGCAGGUGCAAAAACAGGACCUCAGGAGAGCUUUGCCAGGGAAUGUGAUUGUCCACAAGGGGGAUGUGUUCAUUUCCCCCAGAAAGUAAUGCUGGCAAUCCAGUCUUUGCAUAGUGCAGCGUGCAGCGCACUGCGCGCAUGUGCAGUCACAAUUGUGCACGUGUGCACCGCGCUGUUUCUGUCCAGCGCGGUUCUCACACAGCGAGCCUAUCAAGUCUGAAAGACCAUCGCUCAUGGAGCAGAUGGCAAGGGCACUUGAAGCAGGCGCACGUACUGAGAAGACAAUAGUCUAGAGAGGCUCACGUGAUCUGGGACGCUUUUAAAAUGCAGAGUUGUUUUUCUCACAGCUAGUGGGACUCCCAAUUCUCUCAAAACUCCCAAUUCGGAAUUGCGAUUGUAUGAAUAUGGUAAGCAAGUUGUACACUCCGAGUGAUCUCUAUAGAUUGUAAGUAUAUUGGUAUCGGCCAUCAUGUACUAUGGCUGCAGGUCAUGCCAGGUAGCCAGCGUCGCAGUGACACCUCCAGCCCG